rnacentral:tRNA from 2 species
GGGCUAGUAGCUCAGGUGGUUAGAGCGCGACACUGAUAAUGUCGAGGUCCGUGGUUCGAGUCCACGCUGGCCCA